rnacentral:rRNA from 1 species
UACGAAGGGGGCUGGCGUUGCUCGGAAUCACUGGGCGUAAAGGGUGCGUAGGCGGGUCUUUAAGUCAGAGGUGAAAUCCUGGAGCUCAACUCCAGAACUGCCUUUGAUACUGAGGAUCUUGAGUUCGGGAGAGGUGAGUGGAACUGCGAGUGUAGAGGUGAAAUUCGUAGAUAUUCGCAAGAACACCAGUGGCGAAGGCGGCUCACUGGCCCGAUACUGACGCUGAGGCACGAAAGCGUGGGGAGCAAACAGG